UAAUUUCAAUUUUUCAAAGUCAUUGCUGGUU
rnacentral:piRNA from 1 species